UCUUAAGCUCCCUUUUUACUCUGUGAUGUGUUUUUUGUUUGUUUUUUUUGCAGUUGACUUCAAACUUUUCACAUACGUUUCCAUAAAAGGCAAAAAUUUUGACAUUAAGUUUCAGUAAAAGUUUGUAAGUCAAACAAAAACACAUUACAGUUUUUAGAGUUUAUAGAGUCAAAGGAUUUCCAUUCAUUCACACUCAGCACCUACUGCAUCGCUCGUUCACUUUGUAAGUAUCUCUUUUUCACUUGUAAAUAUUUCUUGCACUUUGUAAAUAUUUCUCUUACCUACUUUUAUUCGUCUUAAAUAUAUAUAUUUUUGCAUUCUUAUCUUAUUGCAUUCCUUCAGUACUUAUUGUGUGUUCUAUCUGUACUCCUUUGAGUCGAGCGGUUCUCUCAUCCAGGGCAUUCCAUUGCAUUGUUGACCUUGUUUAACAUGCACAUGACAAAUGAACAAAUCUUGAAUCUUCCUCAUGACAGUGCUGUCAUGCACCUAAGCAGAUUGUAUCUAAGCUAUAUGUAUAUUUAUAUAUGUAUGUGUUUAUGUAUGUAUGGAUGAAAAGAUAGAUAGAGGAUCUAUCUGUGCCUGUGUGGAUCAAAGUCUUGAGAUUAAUCUUUUAAUCUCCAAAUCUGGUUCUGUCACUUAAAGCCUCCUGAGUUUAACUUGCCUCCUCAUCAACAAAGUAUUGACAAUACUCCUCCAAAGCUCUUUAGCUGAGUCAAUUUCUGCCACUUUAACACAACAUGGACCGAGGGAAAAGUCUGCAGCCUUUGCCUGGAGUCAAUCUGGAUUUGGCCUCCAGGAGGGAUCAGAAAAGGUGAAGCAAACAACACUUUCUUCUUUGACUUUUGCCAUGAAUCUGCCUCUAAUUAGGUGGCAACAUAGUGAUAAUCUGUUUUUCCAUGCAGAAAAGAGAAAAAAAUGUGGUGUAAUCAACCAAACUGAGUGGAUUUGAACAAUCUUGAACGAGAAAGUGAUGAGUUAUUGUGCCCUAGUACUCAUAAACUCUGUCUUAACCUUGUGGUGUAAUUAAUUGUUGCCCAAAAAUAUUUUAAAAAGGUUCUGCCUAUUUGCCCGCACUCUUCUGUUACAUUUUGAAGUGAAGUCAAGGAACGUUAAGUUUGCAAAGGCCAUCAGUCUCAAAUGUCUAAACUUGAAGUACAGUUAGAAGGUCUGAUUUAUAACCAACAGUAUCAUCACUAUAAACCACAGCAAUAUUGUGUGAAAUAAAUCACAAUCAGUCACUUUUAUGUUAGAGAAGGAAAGUUAGUAUUCAUGUCUUGCAGUCUUUGGUGGUCACUGAAGUUCGAACCAGCAAACUCACAGACUUAAUGCUGAUUGUGUGAUUUGGCCAGAGGUUGAUCUGACUCCAAAUGUCAUUAGUAAGGGAUUUAUCUCAUGAUGAAGCAGCAGCAUAGUGAGAUCUCUCCACAAGACUUUUCCCUCUCCGGCGCCAAUAUACACCCGCCCAACUGCAGCUUUGAAAAAUUAAAACAAGAUCUGAAACAUUGAUUGAAAUUUCUGCACACAAACACAAGAGAUGCUUGUGAACUGGGCAGAAAUAUUCUUGCUGUGGGAAAACUCUGUUCUCUGUUAAAUAUAGAUCUGUGUGCUUGUUGGUGUUGUUUGUUUUGUUCUACAAGCCUGAAUUUGAUGAGUACAGAGCAGGACAUGAAGUUUAGAGUAAGAUGAAGAAGGUACUUAAUUCUAUAAAAACUUUUUUUUCCCCUAAACUUUUCCCUUCAGUAAAUAAUCCCACACAUACAGAACCUGUUUGAAAGAAAGUCAACAACAAAACGUGAACUCCUGAAAGGUGCUCAUGGUGUCACAUUAACCAGGAAUCACUAGAGUGAAGUGAAUUAUUAAAAGUAUAACUGCACAUUACUUUGACACUAAUUUGACGCUUUUUACUCCUGCAUAUUAAAUUGAAACUGUGUUAUCCACCCCUAAAUAAGCACUUUGAAGACGUCUCUCACCUCUGAUUAAUGCUUUUGGAUCAUGCUGGUGCAGCAGGGCAGCAUUUAUAUCUAAAGGUCAAGAUUAGAGAUACACCAAUGAAUCAUAUUGACUGAUUAAUUGAGUUGAUUUAAGGUAUUUUGAAACGAGCCGCACAGCCAAUAUCUGGGCUCAUUAAGCCAAUUAAAAAUGAAGAAAUCCUUUUCGCAAACACUACAGACACUUCUAAGGUGGGGUAGGCAGGGUUACGUUAAAGAAGCAUCUUUUUUUGUGGUGUAAAUACAAAAGAGCUUUUAAUAUCAGUCAAUAGCUAUUAGUUAUUGAUGACAUUUGGAAAUAUAAUGAUAUUACUGUGUUUUGUUAUGUCUGUGAUUGGUUGUGAGGCGGACGCUGCUCCCUCGUGUUGUGAGGCAUGCUCAAUGUCCUCCAACAACAUUCACGAGCCCAAAGUUAGCGUGCUACAACAUCGGACAGUACAAACCAACCAGAAAGUAUGGAAAUACAAGCAAGAAAACGAAGUAAAUACCGGAGACUCUGGCGGAAUAACGGGCGCUUAAAACAGAGGUAGACCGGACAAGAGCUAAGAAGCCGGGUCAACAUCAGCAUAAACAAUGGGGGAUGCCUCGAGAUCUUACCAACCCUGUAACCUUUCUGCUGAAUUUAAUCGAAACGAUAUGAGUGAGCAGGAGCGUCUACUUGUGGGCAGGGCUUGCUGGAGCAGAGCGCAAGGGGAGAGGAGGAGCUAAAGGGAAAAACUGGUUGGGAGGGGUAGUGUUUACAUUCAAGAUUUCUCCCAUAAACUGGCAGUUCCUCAGAUCCGGCCUACCUCACUUUUAACUCAUUAAAUGGCAGCAAAUUAAAUCUAACAGUUACCCCCAAGAGUUUGACAAGUACUCUAUAUAAAAGAACAGAUUUGGCAUAAAUAUGUCAUGUUUUAAAAUUUACAGCACAGCCCAAUAUAACUUUCCAUUAAUUCAUAAUCCACCUAAAACAUGUCUUUGGUUAAGUUAACUAUUUAUAUCAUAUUGCAAUUUGCAUAAAACAACUAGUUUCAUUAUUAUUAAAUCAUUAUCUUAAAUAAAAGGCAAAAAAAAAAAAAAUGGUAGAGACGAUCAGCACUUUAUUGGAUGACCAGUUCUGUCAAUUAUUGUCAUCCCUAUCAGCCAUAGUCGACCACUAGUCUAAAUCAUUAAAUACAUCUUAUUGCAUUGAUUUUUUUCCCUAAAAUUAAGACACAGGUAAGAAAGCUUUACAUCAUUAAUUAAGGCUUGAAAACAGUUUUGGAUUAUAAAAUAAUGAGAUCCUCAACACGUGAUGAGAAAUGCAAUCAAUAAUUUUAGCUACUAAAAUUUAAAUUUCUCUGAUUGAUCUGUAAGAAAUCAUCUUACAGCCUCCGUUUUAAUCAUUAACCAUCCCUGAGAUUAGCUUUUCAAAGUCCCACAGCGAAACCUCGGAGACUUUGAUGAGACAUAACAACAUGCACAGUUCAUUUAUUGACGAGCUGAGUGGGUUUGAGAGAAGUAUCUGUAAGGAAAAUCUGAUCAGUUAGUGAGAAGUGUGUGUACUCAUGUGAUGAGUAUCAGAGUUCAUUUGAGAUGUCAUCAGUCUAUCUCAGUGGCUUAUCCUCCAAGUCCUGAAAGCUAAAACUGACUGAUCCCCCGAGAGCCACUUUCUCUCUCUCUCCUGAUGGAAAUCAAUAUCUAAGAUUUGAACUUCACCACCCUUAAUUCCUCCAUUCUCUGCAUGGUCAGAACCCUCACUCGCAGAUGCAUCCAAAAGGGGAAAAACUGUGUAAUUUCCAUUUCUGUCAUUAUAAUCGUUUGAGCCAGACAGCACUGCGGUCCAUUAACUUCACAUCUCGCUGUCACUCUUCAUCCCACAGCGACAGGCGGCUUCCUGACAGCAGAUUGGAACCAAGUUGGAUUCACGCUGUCAAGCUUCUCUGUUCGAGUUAUUUCUGGCUGCUGGAGUCCGGGACAAAGAGAAGAACACAGUCAUGAACGUCUGAGCACAAGUUGGAUGAGUGGUUGAGCUUCUAUAUUCUCCUCGAUCAAGCAGAAGAGAUUUGGUGACGUGUCUGUAAACAACAGCGUGAAUAAAUGAAUGGGGACACUAUUGUAGGUCAUUUAGUCUCAGUCUGUCUUGAGUGGAUGUUUAUCCCUUCUUACUCCAUCACAAUAUCACUGGCAUAUCUACUGAGGAGCUGGAUAUACUCAUGCAUCACUCUGUCCCUUAAAUAGACAGCACGCUGUUAUCUUAGACGGGCCAAAAUCAGAGCCAUUAAACAUCUUAUGUCCUCUAAAUAAAAAGGCACCAUCGAGUAAAAUGCUCAAGACUC
rnacentral:lncRNA from 1 species